rnacentral:rRNA from 1 species
UGGGGAAUCUUGCACAAUGGAGGCAACUCUGAUGCAGCGACGCCGCGUGAGCGAUGAAGGUAUUCGUAUCGUAAAGCUCUGUUGUUCGGGAAGAUGAUGACCGUACCGAACGAGGAAGCCCCGGCUAACUACGUGCCAGCAGCCGCGGUAAUACGUAGGGGGCGAGCGUUGUCCGGAAUUAUUGGGCGUAAAGGGUGCGUAGGCGGUAGGGAAAGUUAGUUGUGAAAGCGUGGGGCUCAACCCCAUACAGCAAUUAAAACUUCCUUACUUGAGUGGUGGAGAGGAAAGUGGAACUCUUAGUGUAGCGGUGAAAUGCGUAGAUAUUAAGAAGAACACCAGUGGCGAAGGCGACUUUCUGGACACCAACUGACGCUGAGGCACGAAAGCGUGGGGAGCAAACA